GCCACGGCUAACUACGUGCCAGCAGCCGCGGUAAUACGUAGGUGGCAAGCGUUGUCCGGAAUUAUUGGGCGUAAAGCGCGCGCAGGCGGUUUCUUAAGUCUGAUGUGAAAUCUUGCGGCUCAACCGCAAGCGGCCAUUGGAAACUGGGAGACUUGAGUGCAGAAGAGGAGAGUGGAAUUCCACGUGUAGCGGUGAAAUGCGUAGAGAUGUGGAGGAACACCAGUGGCGAAGGCGACUCUCUGGUCUGUAACUGACGCUGAGGCGCGAAAGCGUGGGGAGUGAACAGGAUUAGAUACCCUGGUAGUCCACGCCGUAAACGAUGAGUGCUAAGUGUUAGAGGGUUUCCGCCCUUUAGUGCUGCAGCUAACGCAUUAAGCACUCCGCCUGGGGAGUACGGCCGCAAGGCUGAAACUCAAAGGAAUUGACGGGGGCCCGCACAAGCGGUGGAGCAUGUGGUUUAAUUCGAAGCAACGCGAAGAACCUUACCAGGUCUUGACAUCCUCUUGACCUCCCUAGAGAUAGGGAUUUCCCUUCGGGGACAAGAGUGACAGGUGGUGCAUGGUUGUCGUCAGCUCGUGUCGUGAGAUGUUGGGUUAAGUCCCGCAACGAGCGCAACCCUUGACCUUAGUUGCCAGCAUUCAGUUGGGCACUCUAAGGUGACUGCCGGUGACAAACCGGAGGAAGGUGGGGAUGACGUCAAAUCAUCAUGCCCCUUAUGACCUGGGCUACACACGUGCUACAAUGGAUGGUACAAAGGGCUGCAAGACCGCGAGGUUUAGCCAAUCCCAUAAAACCAUUCUCAGUUCGGAUUGUAGGCUGCAACUCGCCUACAUGAAGCCGGAAUCGCUAGUAAUCGCGGAUCAGCAUGCCGCGGUGAACACGUUCCCGGGCCUUGUACACACCGCCCGUCACACCACGAGAGUUUGUAACACCCGAAGUCGGUGAGGUAACCUUUUGGAGCCAGCCGCCGAAGGUGGGACAGAUGAUUGGGGUG
rnacentral:rRNA from 1 species